rnacentral:rRNA from 1 species
UACGGAGGGGGCUAGCGUUGUUCGGAAUUACUGGGCGUAAAGCGCACGUAGGCGGCUUUGUAAGUUAGAGGUGAAAGCCCAGGGGCUCAACCCCUGGAAUUGCCUUUAAGACUGCAUCGCUUGAACAUCGGGAGAGGUAAGUGGAAUUCCGAGUGUAGAGGUGAAAAUUCGUAGAUAUUCGGAAGAACACCAGUGGCGAAGGCGACUUACUGGACGAUUGUGACGCUGAGGUGCGAAAAGCGUGGGGGAGCAAAACAGGAUUAGAAAACCUCGGUAG